GACGAACGCUGGCGGCGUGCUUAACACAUGCAAGUCGAACGGUAAGGCCCCUUCGGGGGUACACGAGUGGCGAACGGGUGAGUAACACGUGGGUAAUCUGCCCUGCACUUCGGGAUAAGCCUGGGAAACCGGGUCUAAUACCGGAUAUGAGCUCUCAACGCAUGGCGGGGGGUGGAAAGCUUUUUCGGUGCAGGAUGAGCCCGCGGCCGAUCAGCUUGUUGGUGGGGUAAUGGCCUACCAAGGCGACGACGGGUAGCCGGCCUGAGAGGGUGAUCGGCCACACUGGGACUGAGACACGGCCCAGACUCCUACGGGAGGCAGCAGUGGGGAAUAUUGCACAAUGGGCGGAAGCCUGAUGCAGCGACGCCGCGUGGGGGAUGACGGUCUUCGGAUUGUAAACCCCUUUCAGUAGGGACGAAGCGCAAGUGACGGUACCUGCAGAAGAAGCACCGGCCAACUACGUGCCAGCAGCCGCGGUAA
rnacentral:rRNA from 1 species